rnacentral:tRNA from 1 species
ACUUAGGUAGUUUAAUAAAAAAUUUUGAUUUGUGGUGUCAAAGAUAUAUAUAUAUAAAUAUUCUAGGUC